UACGUAGGGGCCAAGCGUUGUCCGGAUUUAUUGGGCGUAAAGGGUGCGUAGGCGGCGCGGUAAGUCGGGUGUGAAAUCUCGGAGCUUAACUCCGAAACUGCAUUCGAUACUGCCGUGCUUGAGGACUGGAGAGGAGACUGGAAUUUACGGUGUAGCGGUGAAAUGCGUAGAUAUCGUAAGGAAGACCAGUGGCGAAGGCGGGUCUCUGGACAGUUCCUGACGCUGAGGCACGAAGGUCAGGGGAGCAAACGGG
rnacentral:rRNA from 1 species